GGAGAGGUGCUGGAGUGGUCGAUCAGGAUCGCCUGCUAAGCGAUUGUCCCGAGAAAUUGGGACCGUGGGUUCGAAUCCCACCCUCUCCGCCA
rnacentral:tRNA from 1 species